UACGAAGGGGGCUAGCGUCGUUCGGAAUCACUGGGCGUAAAGCGCACGUAGGCGGACUGUUAAGUCAGGGGUGAAAUCCCGGAGCUCAACUUCGGAACUGCCUUUGAUACUGAUGGUCUUGAGACCGGAAGAGGUGAGUGGAAUUCCUAGUGUAGAGGUGAAAUUCGUAGAUAUUAGGAAGAACACCAGUGGCGAAGGCGGCUCACUGGUCCGGUUCUGACGCUGAGGUGCGAAAGCGUGGGGAGCAAACAGGG
rnacentral:rRNA from 1 species